rnacentral:rRNA from 1 species
UACAUGCAAGUCGAACGCGUCUCCGUUAAUGAUUUUAGGUGCUUGCACUUGAAAGAUUUAACAUUGAGACGAGUGGCGAACUGGUGAGUAACACGUGGGUAACCUGCCCUUGAAGUAGGGGAUAACACUUGGAAACAGGUGCUAAUACCGUAUAACAACCAAAACCACCUGGUUUUGGUUUAAAAGACGGCUUCGGCUGUCACUUUAGGAUGGACCCGCGGCGUAUUAGCUUGUUGGUAAGGUAACGGCUUACCAAGGCGAUGAUACGUAGCCGACCUGAGAGGGUAAUCGGCCACAUUGGGACUGAGACACGGCCCAAACUCCUACGGGAGGCAGCAGUAGGGAAUCUUCCACAAUGGACGAAAGUCUGAUGGAGCAACGCCGCGUGAGUGAUGAAGGGUUUCGGCUCGUAAAACUCUGUUGUUGGAGAAGAACAGGUGUCAGAGUAACUGUUGACAUCUUGACGGUAUCCAACCAGAAAGCCACGGCUAACUACGUGCCAGCAGCCGCGGUAAUACGUAGGUGGCAAGCGUUGUCCGGAUUUAUUGGGCGUAAAGCGAGCGCAGGCGGUUUUUUAGGUCUGAUGUGAAAGCCUUCGGCUUAACCGGAGAAGUGCAUCGGAAACCGGGAGACUUGAGUGCAGAAGAGGACAGUGGAACUCCAUGUGUAGCGGUGAAAUGCGUAGAUAUAUGGAAGAACACCAGUGGCGAAGGCGGCUGUCUGGUC